CGCGUAGGCGGUUUUUAAGUCAGAUGUGUAAUCCCCGAGCUUAACUUGGGAACUGCAUCUGAGACUGGAAGGCUAGAGUACUGGAGAGGGUGGUGGAAUUCCUCGUGUAGCGGUGAAAUGCGUAGAGAUGAGGAGGAACACCAGUGGCGAAGGCAGCCACCUGGACAGUAACUGACGCUGAGGCGCGAAAGUGUGGGUAGCAAACAGGAUUAGAUACCCUGGUAGUCCACGCUGUAAACGAUGAACACUUGGUGUGGAGGGAGUUGACCCCUUCCGUGCCGGAGCUAACGCGUUAAGUGUUCCGCCUGGGGAGUACGGUCGCAAGGCUGAA
rnacentral:rRNA from 1 species